ACCCAGGGCCCAGUUCCAUCCCUGCUGCGUGAAGUGAAAUGUUACUAGUCUUUGUUUCUGGUAGCGCCCAUGAUGUGCUAGCGCUGUACAACCCUGCAUCUGCACCUGGAAAGCGUACACAAAAAUGGAUCCGAAUCUGCAUCUCAACACUCCGUGGGACCAGGACCUCGAUUUCUUUCUGUCGCUUCAGAUUGUAGUGUAAUUGUGUGAUAAUAUAGCCUGCAAAACUGCUUCUGUGCACUCCAAGAACCAGUGCAUCAAUGUCUGGGCCAGAUUCUGCACAGAGCUACAGUAGUGUCAUUAACUCCAGAGUGACUCCCUUGACUUGCUCCAGGUUACUGCUGAGAAGAGAAUGUGGUCCUUGUCUCGUGUUACUAAGUAAUGUAAAGUGACGUCAGCGUAAAGGAGAAUCUGGUCUACUGAGCAUGGUGGCCUGAACCCAGACUGGGAAGCUGAGUUCUAAGACUGACUCCGACGACAUCUGUGA